AGCUAAUAGAUACCCCGGUAGUCCACGCCCUAAACGAUGUCUACUAGUUGUUGGUGGAGUAAAAUCCAUGAGUAAACGCAGCUAAACGCGUGAAGUAGACCGCCUGGGGAGUACGGUCGCAAGAUUAAAAACUCAAAGGAAUUGACGGGGGCCCGCACAAGCGGUGGAUUAUGUGGAUUAAAUUCGAUGCAACGCGAAAAACCUUACCUGGCCUUGACAUGCCACUAACGAAGCAGAGAUGCAUUAGGUGCCCGUAAGGGAAAGUGGACACAGGUGCUGCAUGGCUGUCGUCAGCUCGUGUCGUGAGAUGUUGGGUUAAGUCCCGCAACGAGCGCAACCCUUGCCAUUAAUUGCCAUCAUUUAGUUGGGCACUUUAAUGGGACUGCCGGUGACAAACCGGAGGAAGGUGGGGAUGACGUCAAGUCCUCAUGGCCCUUAUGGCCAGGGCUUCACACGUAAUACAAUGGUCGGUACAGAGAGUUGCCAACCCGCGAGGGGUAGCUAAUCUCAGAAAGCCGAUCGUAGUCCGGAUUGUUCUCUGC
rnacentral:rRNA from 1 species